GAUGAACGCUAGCUACAGGCUUAACACAUGCAAGUCGAGGGGAAACGAUAGAGAAAGCUUGCUUUUUCUAGGCGUCGACCGGCGCACGGGUGAGUAACGCGCAUCCAACCUGCCCAUCACUUGGGGAUAACCUUGCGAAAGUAAGACUAAUACCCAAUGAUAUCUCUAGAAGACAUCUGAAGGAGAUUAAAGAUUUAUCGGUGAUGGAUGGGGAUGCGUCUGAUUAGCUUGUUGGCGGGGUAACGGCCCACCAAGGCUACGAUCAGUAGGGGUUCUGAGAGGAAGGUCCCCCACAUUGGAACUGAGACACGGUCCAAACUCCUACGGGAGGCAGCAGUGAGGAAUAUUGGUCAAUGGACGGGAGUUUGAGCCAGCCAAGUAGCGUGCAGGAUGACGGCCCUAUGGGUUGUAAACUGCUUUUAUAAGGGAAUAAAGUGAGUCUCGUGAGACUUUUUGCAUGUACCUUAUGAAUAAGGACCGGCUAAUUCCGUGCCAGCAGCCGCCGUAA
rnacentral:rRNA from 1 species